ACAGUUUUGACCUUAGACCAAGAAAAAGGCCAGGGAGUCAAAAAAGAAAGGACUAUACUUUUUAUUUGGCCUGAAGAGUGAUGGGUCUAAUGGAACAAGAAGAGAUCAAAGACUGCCAUUGGUUGAUAACCUCAAUGGGCUCCAAUGCUAUUUCUAGCCAACCAAUUUACCAAGGAACAUCACAAGAACACCAGCUUUCCACAGAGAGAGUUUGAAAAGUCAUUAAUGAAGCAAAUCGAAAGAACUGGAGCAAUUCAAGCCAAAUGGAAAUUCAUCCAAAGUCCUGGCCAAAAUAGUCAAAUACAUGGUUUGUCUUUGGCAUCAGCCUCCCUCUUCCAUCCUCUAUUCCUCCUCCCAGCCCCAGGGUAUUUUGUGCUCUCUCUUACACAAAAAUUCCUAUUAAAGGAUA